rnacentral:lncRNA from 1 species
GCCCCGCUUUCCCCCAGCGCUGGAGACUCCGAGCCCGGCCGGUCCCACAUUCCACGCGAGCUGAAUUCCCGCCCGCAUCCCGCCCGGGCAGCAGGGAUUGCCGGCUCCGGGAGGCGCUCGGGCUCCGAGAAGCGGCUCAGCCCCGCGCCCCUCCCUCCUCAGUACCGCUGCCGGCGGACCAGGAUUCCCGCGGGUCCUGGCGGCUGCGAGCGCGAGGCGGCGCGGAUUCGCGGCUCGGUUCCGGCGCGACUGCUCACCGCGCCCGCCUCGCCUCCCGCGGCUGCCAGCGUGCACUGGGCGCUCCUCGGCGCGUCUGCCCGGCCCGUCUCGGCUUUCCUUCUCCUUCCUCUAGUCCCAGCGUCACAACUCCGCCGACCUCCUCUGCCCUGAGAGCGCGUCCGGUGCGGGCGGAGUCGGACGGACUCUGGCUUCACGCCUCGCGCGGGCACACCUUCUCCCGGGCACUGAGGCCCAGUUAUUAGGGGAGGCAGAGUCCUUCUGGAGUUUGACCCUUGGAUUCCAUCCAGAGCAGCCUCCAAAAUGACACCUUUGAAGUUGUGUAUCGAGCUGGGGGAUGUAAAGGGAGGAGAAGAAAGAAGAUGAAGAGAUACCAGCCAGCCUUAAGGAGUGGACAUCCUGCCUGGUGAAACUGAACAAGACACCUACCGCAUAUGGAGUUUCGCUCUGUCGCCCAGGCUGGAGUGCAGUGGUGCCAUCUCGGCUCACCGCAACCUCCACCUCCAGGUUCAAGUGAUUCUCCUGCCUCAGCCUCUCAAGUAGCUGGGAUUACAGGAGCCCUCUCCCACCGCUCCUACACUGCUGGUAAAAGGCAGCCGCACUGCCUGCUGGAAGACCUGCCAGCUUGGGCUUCAGAGCACUUCUGCCUCAGAUCCACGACGAUCCCUUCUGUCAUCGUGGGACCUUUCCUGGGAUUUGAUUUAGGGCGACGCUUCCUCCUGUCUGUGUCCUGAGUCCUGCCUUCCCUGGCUGGUCCUCUUUGCUUAGUCACCCAGAUCAUUCCCAGACAGCUGCGCCCUGGAUAUGGCUCCUCUCAUGUGCUGCCUGGAAAUGUCUCCUCUCUUCUCACCUGCUGAGAGGUCCUUCUGGGCAGGGACUCGGGCAGAUUCAUUCCUGCCUGCCCCACAUUUCCCUAGCCCAGGGCCUGGCCCGUUGCAGUGCUGAAGGAUGAUUCUGGUAAGAAACAAGGUACUCCAGCUCACAUCUUGCAAUGAUUAUGCCUCCCCCACUCUCCCUUCUCCUUGCAGUUCUCUCUCUUCACUGAUGAUUUUGGAUGCAAUUUAAAAUAAAAAUAUUGAUUAAAAAUGGAAACUAUAUAAAUAAAAAUAAAAACACUUAACAUCAA